CCGGGGGCUGCGACCGGAGCGGGACAGCGGGCGAGGGACCGGGCCGGGGUCACCCUCCGCGCCGUGUGGGCCUCGGCUCGCCUGCACUUGGGGCAAAGUGUCUCACUGUCCAAACAGAAAAUCUUGCGCCAAAAGUUUAUUUUAGUUCCCAGUCUCAGGUAGAUUUCCUGUCACAAGUGACAGUAAGGUGGACACAGGCGUGCAAGACUUUCUGCUUUCCUUGGACGGGGACCUGUAAACUUUCCAGCACCCUGAGGCACCUGGAACUGGCCAACCUUGUAGUAGUUAAUGGAUGAAAAGGUUUCCAUCCUGAAGAGGCAGUGCAGAGAAAGGAUGGGUGAAUCAUGGAAGGAGACAGUAUAUCCCUGUAAGAGCCAUAAAGUUGAACACUUAAAUACACACUCGGCCUCAGGCACGUCAGUGGUUCCACUGGAGUGAAGACAACUUAUCAUUGUUCUAUCAGCAAAGCAGAUUCUAUGGAAAUGAAAAGGGCUAAAAGAAGAAUGGUGUGCCUUUCACCGCCUCCUUUGUGGCGAUGCUGGAGUCAGACACAGCCAGGAUACAUGGACAGAACAAACACUGGUCUGAGCGUUUCAGCCACGUAAUAAGAGGGCUCAAUCACUGAGGAAUACUCUGUAAAUGUUGAAGAUGCUGAAUAGACUAAUCUCCAGCCCUUCCAGCCCGCACCCAGGGCAGGCGUUCUGCAAACAGCCGGAAAAUCAACUCGCUGCAGCAACAGCUCCCUGAAGAACCCAAGACAUUUUUCAGAAAAGAGCUCCACAACUUCACAGAGGCUGAAUAAUAUGAAAUAAUAAACAUUUAUUUAAUAAG